rnacentral:rRNA from 1 species
AGUGAACGCUGGCGGUAGGCCUAACACAUGCAAGUCGAACGGCAGCACAGUAAGAGCUUGCUCUUACGGGUGGCGAGUGGCGGACGGGUGAGGAAUACAUCGGAAUCUACUUUUUCGUGGGGGAUAACGUAGGGAAACUUACGCUAAUACCGCAUACGACCUACGGGUGAAAGCAGGGGAUCUUCGGACCUUGCGCGAUUGAAUGAGCCGAUGUCGGAUUAGCUAGUUGGCGGGGUAAAGGCCCACCAAGGCGACGAUGCGUAGCUGGUCUGAGAGGAUGAUCAGCCACACUGGAACUGAGACACGGUCCAGACUCCUACGGGAGGCAGCAGUGGGGAAUAUUGCGCAAUGGGCGAAAGCCUGAUCCAGCCAUACCGCGUGGGUGAAGAAGGCCUUCGGGUUGUAAAGCCCUUUUGUUGGGAAAGAACAGCAGCAGGUUAAUACCCCGCUGUUCUGACGGUACCCAAAGAAUAAGCACCGGCUAACUUCGUG